rnacentral:rRNA from 1 species
CUACGGGGCGCUGCAGCAGGGAAUUUUGCGCAAUGGGCGAAAGCCUGACGCAGCAACGCCGCGUGGGGGAUGAAGGCCUUCGGGUUGUAAACCCCUUUCAGGAGGGAAGAAAUUGACGGUACCUCCAGAAGAAGCACCGGCCAACUACGUGCCAGCAGCCGCGGUAAUACGUAGGGUGCGAGCGUUAUCCGGAAUCAUUGGGCGUAAAGAGCUCGUAAGCGGUUCAGCAAGUCGGCUGUGAAAGUCCGAGGCUCAACCUCGGAAUUGCAGUCGAUACUGCUGUGACUCGAGUCCGGUAGAGGAGAACGGAAUUCCCGGUGUAGCGGUGAAAUGCGCAGAUAUCGGGAGGAACACCAGUAGCGAAGGCGGUUCUCUGGGCCGGCACUGACGCUGAGGAGCGAAAGCGUGGGGAGCGAACAGGAUUAGAUACCCUCGUAGUC